UGGCGGACGGGAGAUAACGCGUGGGUAACCCACCCUAAGUCGGGACAACCUUGGAAACGAGGGCUAAUACCGAUAAUUUUCGAGCUUGGCUCAAGCUGAAGGAAAGAGGCCUCUGAAGUGCUAUCGUUAUGGAUGGACCCGCGUCUGAAUAGCUAGUUGGUGGGGUAAAGGCCUACCAAGGCGACGAUCCCAGUUAGGCCGACCUGACAGGCUGAACGGCCACACUGGGACUGAGAUCACGGCCCAGACUCCUACGGAAGCCAGCAGUGGCGGAAUCUUCCGCAUGGACGAAAGUCCUGACGGAGCAACUGCCGCGAUGUAUGAUGAAGGUCUUCGGAUUGUAAAGUACUGUCUUUGGGGAAGAACGGUCUCUUUGAGAAUAUUGAGGGGACAUGACGGUACCCAAGGAGGAAGCCCCGGCUAACUACGUGCCAGCAGCCGCGGUAAUACGUAGGGGGCAAGCGUUGUCCGGGAAUUAUUGGGCGUAAAGGGCGCGUAGGCGGAUGUUUAAGUCCGGUGUGAAAGAUCAGGGCUCAACCCUGAGAGUGCAUCGGAAACUGGGCAUCUUGAGGACAGGAGCAGGAAAGUGGAAUUCCACGUGUAGCGGUGAAAUGCGUACAUAUGUGGAGGAACACCAGUGGCGAAGGCGACUUUCUGGACUGUAACUGACGCUGAGGCGCGAAAGCGUGGGGAGCAAACAGGAUUAGAUACCCUGGUAGUCCACGCCGUAAACGUAUGAGUGCUAGGUGUAGAGGGUAUCGACCCCUUCUGUGCCGCAGUUAACACAAUAAGCACUCCGCCUGGGGAGUACGGCCGCAAGGUUGAAACUCAAAGGAAUUGACGGGGGCCCGCACAAGCGGUGGAGCAUGUGGUUUAAUUCGACGCAACGCGAAGAACCUUACCAAGGCUUGACAUCCACAGAAUCGCUUGGUAAACAAGGGAGUGCCCUUCGGGGAGCUGUGAGACAGAUGGUGCAUGCUAGUCGUCAGCUCGUGUCGUAGAUGAUGUCGGGUUAAGUCACGCAACGAGCGCAACCCGCUGUGUUUAGUGGCUAACGCGUAAAGGCCAGCACUCUAGACAGACUGCAGGUGAUAAACCGGAGGAAGGUGGGAAUGACGUCAAAUCAUCAUGCCACUUAUGUUCUUGCGCUAGCACAGCGUGUCUACAGAUGGCCGGUACAGACGGAAGCGAAGCCGCGAGGUGAAGCCAUCCGACAAAGCCGGUCUCAGUUCGGAUUGCAGGCUGCAAACUCGCCUGCAUGAAGUCGGAAUCGCUAGUAAUCGCGAGAGUCAGCAUGACUGCGGUGAAUACGUUCCCGGGCCUUGUACACACCGCCCGUCACACCAUGAAAGUUGUGCAACACCCGAAUCCGGUGGAGCUAACCCGUAAGGAGCCUGCC
rnacentral:rRNA from 1 species